GUGGCUCAGUGGUUAGAGCACUGGCUGCCCUUCCAGAAGACCUGGGUUCAGUUCCCAGC
rnacentral:tRNA from 1 species